rnacentral:rRNA from 1 species
AAGUCGAACGCUGAAGCUCAGCUUGCUGGGUGGAUGAGUGGCGAACGGGUGAGUAACACGUGAGUAACCUGCCCUCUUCUUUGGGAUAACGCCCGGAAACGGGUGCUAAUACUGGAUAUUCACUGAUCUUCGCAUGGGGGUUGGUGGAAAGGUUUGUUCUGGUGGGGGAUGGGCUCGCGGCCUAUCAGCUUGUUGGUGGGGUGAUGGCCUACCAAGGCUUUGACGGGUAGCCGGCCUGAGAGGGUGACCGGUCACAUUGGGACUGAGAUACGGCCCAGACUCCUACGGGAGGCAGCAGUGGGGAGUAUUGCACAAUGGGCGAAAGCCUGAUGCAGCGACGCCGCGUGAGGGAUGGAGGCCUUCGGGUUGUAAACCUCUUUCGCUCAUGGUCAAGCCGCAACUGUGGGUUGUGGUGAGGGUAGUGGGUAAAGAAGCGCCGGCUAACUACGUGCCAGCAGCCGCGGUAAUACGUAGGGCGCGAGCGUUGUCCGGAAUUAUUGGGCGUAAAGGGCUUGUAGGCGGUUGGUCGCGUCUGCCGUGAAAUUCUCUGGCUUAACUGGGGGCGUGCGGUGGGUACGGGCUGACUUGAGUGCGGUAGGGGAGACUGGAACUCCUGGUGUAGCGGUGGAAUGCGCAGAUAUCAGGAAGAACACCGGUGGCGAAGGCGGGUCUCUGGGCCGUUAC